GGAGAGGUGGCUCAGCGGUUAAGAGCAAUGGCUGCUCAUCUAGAGGACCUGGGUUCAAUUCCCAGCAUCCACA
rfam:Neotoma lepida isolate 417 scaffold_13, whole genome shotgun sequence.